AUACCCCUCCAUGUACGAUCCCACGUAAAACGGCACAUAAAAUAUCGCAUCUUUUGCGAAAUUACAAUUUUGCCAACACCGACCUCUCUUCGAUCAACGUGCGAUCUCCGCAGAUCCGUCCAUCGGAUUUGCGAACGGAUUACACCAGUGCGAUCAGCACCUCGGAGACAACAAAGCUACACUUUCGAUUCAUCUCGAUCGACCACGGAUUCACAACAAAAUCCAACCUUCUUCCAAUAGAAGGAAACACACACACAAAUACAUAUAAAACAUGUAUUUUUGAAUUUUCUCGAAAUCCGUGCGCCAAACUCAAAAUCCAUCAGCGCCACUAGUUCCAGAACAGCUGAACCGGUCGAAACGAGCUAUUGGACUGAUAUGAACGGAGUCCGAUACGCACCAGAAGCCAACUCUACUCCGUGGCUUCUCCGGAAAACCGGAGUUACUAUUCACUUAAGUGAAAACUAAAAAUCGCGUAUCUUCUCCAUUUUAGCUCAGUUUCUCCUGAAACUUGACGAGUGCUUAUGUAAUUAAAUUACACACAUAAACAUCGUCAACGGAGAGUUUAGUUGCACUGUCAAAAAUCUCAGUCCUUACAUUAAAUCUAUAUUUUAAUUCAAAAUUUAAAAUUUUAAAUUCUAGGAUUGUCAAUAUAUUACAACGGAAAUAAUUUAAAAGAUGGAUUGAUUGAUAAAUUUGUAAAUCUUUAAUUUUGAAUUAAUAUGAUGUACAAAUUUAUGAUCAAUUUGUAAAAAAUUAUCUCAAAUAAGAACGAACGAUUAUGAUCAAUUUGUUAAAAAAAAAUAUUUAUAUCCAUCUAUAAAUUCAAUUCUACGAACGGUUAUGAUCAAUUGGUUAAAAAUAUUUAAAAUAAAAAUGAACGGUUAUGAUCAAUCUGUUAAAAAAUAGCACCUCUAUCCAUUUAUUUACGUUAAAAUUUAAAUUUGAGUUUAAAUCGUGAAUUAAAUUAAAUUAUUUAUUUUUGAUAUCAAAUCUAUCCAUCUAUUUUAUAUUAAAAUUUAAAUUUGAAAUUUUAGAUAUUUUCUAAUAAAAUAUUACAUAUAAAUU
rnacentral:lncRNA from 1 species